rnacentral:rRNA from 1 species
UACGUAGGGUGCGAGCGUUAAUCGGAAUUACUGGGCGUAAAGCGUGCGCAGGCGGUUUUGUAAGCCAGAUGUGAAAGCCCCGGGCUCAACCUGGGAAUGGCAUUUGGGACUGCAAGGCUUGAGUGCGGCAGAGGAGACUGGAAUUCCUGGUGUAGCAGUGAAAUGCGUAGAUAUCAGGAGGAAUACCGAUGGCGAAGGCAGGUCUCUGGGCUGACACUGACGCUCAUGCACGAAAGCGUGGGGAGCGAACCGG